rnacentral:rRNA from 1 species
AGCGCAGGCGGGAAGACAAGUUGGAAGUGAAAUCUAUGGGCUCAACCCAUAAACUGCUUUCAAAACUGUUUUUCUUGAGUAGUGCAGAGGUAGGCGGAAUUCCCGGUGUAGCGGUGGAAUGCGUAGAUAUCGGGAGGAACACCAGUGGCGAAGGCGGCCUACUGGGCACCAACUGACGCUGAGGCUCGAAAGUGUGGUAAGCAAACAG